ACCUUAUCUUCUCAACCAUUCCCCUAGCUCCUCCUUCCCCUCCCCUCCUCCGUCAACAGCGGCGGCGGCCCCGGCGGUGGCGGCUGCUCCCCCUCCCCUCCUCCCCGUGAGGGAGUAGCGGCUCGGCGGGAGAAGGCUGCGGCGGCGGCUCCGUCGGCGAGGCGCGGCGGCUGCUGGCGAAGGGGUGUGGCGGCUGCUGGCGGAGGCGACGCAGUGGCUGCGGCGGGCGCGGGACGGGCGGCGGACAGCGCGGCGGCCGCGGCAGCGCGUUGCUCGGCGAAGGAGCGGCAAGCAGCGAGCGGCGCGCGAGGCGACGGCCAGGCGAGGCGGCAGCCUACGCAACUGGCGGCGGUGGGCGGGCUCGCGACGGCAACGGCGAUAAGUUUCUCCUCCGCUCGUUGACGAGUUUCUGUAGUAGUUUCACGAGUUUCGCCGUAGAGCUCGGGGGAGGCGGGCAGGCUCAACGGCUCGCAGCGGCGGCCGGAUGCGGGCAGUCGACGAUGUUCGCGUUUUUUUUAUUUUUGGGUUUUUUUUUUGCGUGCGGGAGAUAUAAAUUGACCGUACGGGAUAAUCGAUUAUCCAGUGCGGUCCACUUAAUCCGACCGUAUGG
rnacentral:sRNA from 1 species